AGGUUGUUCCCUUGAGGAGUGGCUUCCGGAGCUAACGCGUUAAGUCGACCGCCUGGGGAGUACGGCCGCAAGGUUAAAACUCAAAUGAAUUGACGGGGGCCCGCACAAGCGGUGGAGCAUGUGGUUUAAUUCGAUGCAACGCGAAGAACCUUACCUGGCCUUGACAUCCACGGAAUUCGGCAGAGAUGCCUUAGUGCCUUCGGGAACCGUGAGACAGGUGCUGCAUGGCUGUCGUCAGCUCGUGUUGUGAAAUGUUGGGUUAAGUCCCGCAACGAGCGCAACCCUUAUCCUUUGUUGCCAGCGAUUCGGUCGGGAACUCAAAGGAGACUGCCGGUGAUAAACCGGAGGAAGGUGGGGAUGACGUCAAGUCAUCAUGGCCCUUACGGCCAGGGCUACACACGUGCUACAAUGGCGUAUACAAAGAGAAGCGAACUCGCGAGAGCAAGCGGACCUCAUAAAGUACGUCGUAGUCCGGAUCGGAGUCUGCAACUCGACUCCGUGAAGUCGGAAUCGCUAGUAAUCGUGGAUCAGAAUGCCACGGUGAAUACGUUCCCGGGCCUUGUACACACCGCCCGUCACACCAUGGGAGUGGGUUGCAAAA
rnacentral:rRNA from 1 species